UCUCUCUGUCAAAUAAAUAAAUAAAAUCUUUAAAAAAGAGAGAGAGAGAAAUAUGGUAUGACAUUGCCUGGGUCCAGCACACUGCUGCCUUGCCAUUUUGGGGACCCCAUGAUCCUGUGACUCUAUUUCAAGAGAAGUCAUCUUUGUUUUAUCUCCCAUAAUUUUUUUUUUAGGUGUACCAGAAACCUAUCUGGUUUCCCAACUUCUUUAAUUUUUCUUUUUCUCUCUUUUGAUUCUCAACCUUAUAUCUCACAGGGCUAAUCUGUGCCUCCCAAAUAGUCUCACUUCUGUGCAUUCUAUGCCCCUUCUACUGGACUGUUCUUCUCAAUUGUACCUUUCCAAAAUCUAGAUCAGACUGUUUAAAUUUGUAGGCAUGUUUAAAGAUUAUUCUGUGAAAUCUGUAGGCAUUAGAAACAUAUAUGGGAAAAAAUAUGCUGGGAGAUACUAAAAUCUUCAGUAACAGGAAGCUUAAAAUCAACACAUUUGCUGAGCACUACUUUGUAAAAGCACAGUGGCAGUGUUCCAGAAAACUCAGUCUAGAAACAAUUGAUGGAUAAAAUCUAUACAUUUACAAAUAUAAUUAGCCACGCAAGGAAGUAAAAUGCUAAGAGCCAAAAAUGAAUACUAUAUCUUAAGUCCCACAGGAGUUUAGAGAUGAAAGAAUUAUUUAGGGGUUAGGGUAUAUAGCGUGGUACACUUCAAGGUAACAGUUGUGUCUCCAUUUUGUGUUCAUAGGCGCACAAUGAUGUUUAAAUUGUAUAUUUUGUUCUCUUAUGGGUACUUUUUGCUAUUUGGUUAGCAUCUUGCCAGAAUUUCAUAUACAAGUGGGUAUUUCGGCUUAUAUAUGAAUGCUGCUUAAAAUAGAUCCAGUAAAUUCUAACUGAGAAAAAUUCCUACUGCUAACCUUAAAGAGAAUUUUCCACUCUUGGAAACCAUUUUUAAUGGAACAUCUUCUUCCUUUCUUCCUUGAGGAACUGACAAAAGUGAGAAUGAGCUUCUUCUCACUUAGAAAUUGUAUCUGUCCUAAAUUACUGUAGUUAACUUGUGAUACUUUGGGCAGAUUUAAACAGAACCAGCAAAGACAAAUUUUGAUAUAUUUUGGACAUUUGGUUUCCUUCUUAUUCUCAACAAACUGACAGAUGGGUAUUAAAAGCAUUGGCUAGUGUAUUCUCCCAAGAAUAAUUUUUUACAUGUGAAAGUAUUUUUGCCCAUUGUAGGAAAAAAACAUCAGAAAAAACGGGAAAUUGUAAAGAAAACCAGCCACCUAUGACAGCUCCUUAGCAUUUUGCUAUAUUUGCUUCCUCCCAUUUUUGAAGAAUUUGUGGGGUUUU